AAGGUUUUAGCUUAAUGAAAGUAUCUGGGUUGCAUUCAGAAGAUGUGAGGUAAAGUCUUGCAAAUCUUA
rnacentral:tRNA from 2 species